rnacentral:lncRNA from 1 species
GAGUUGGGAGGAAAGCGGCGGCGGUGGCGGCUUCAACAGCAGCUCUUGCCCUUAAGGAACAAUGAAACACAAAGAUGGUGCAGACCCAGGCCCUGCUUUGACUGGGAGAAAGAUGCAUUCAGUUGACUAAAACUUGAAGCUUGGUGGCAUGCAUGUUUAGUCCCAGCUACACAGCAGGGAGGCUGAGGCUGAAGGAAUACUUGAGCCCAGGAAUUCAAGACUAGCCUGCACAACAUAGUGAGACCCUGACUUUAAAAUAAAUUUAAAAAAAUUAAAAGCAACAAGACUUUCUGCUUGUAUAUGAUGAUGUUAGUAUGCUGACUUACAAGGUUAGAUCAUUUUGAUAUGUGUGAUGUAGGUUUUCAAAGCUGGCACUGUUUUAUGCUUCAAAUAUUAUUUUUAUUCAUUGGUUCUCAUGGGAUUUCAUCACUAAGCUGUAAAUCAAUAAUCAUAAUGUUGAGGGGAGGGGAUUACAAAAUAGCUCUUCAAAAUCAUCUUUGCAUUUCUCAAUAAACAGCAUUCCCUUUUGAAAAAAA